rnacentral:rRNA from 1 species
AGCAUGUGGUUUAAUUCGAAGCAACGCGCAGAACCUUACCAGCCCUUGACAUACCGGUCGCGGACACAGAGAUGUGUCUUUCAGUUCGGCUGGACCGGAUACAGGUGCUGCAUGGCUGUCGUCAGCUCGUGUCGUGAGAUGUUGGGUUAAGUCCCGCAACGAGCGCAACCCUCGCCCUUAGUUGCCAGCAUUUAGUUGGGCACUCUAAGGGGACUGCCGGUGAUAAGCCGAGAGGAAGGUGGGGAUGACGUCAAGUCCUCAUGGCCCUUACGGCCUGGGCUACACACGUGCUACAAUGGUCGGUACAAAGGGUUGCCAAGCCGCGAGGUGGAGCUAAUCCCAUAAAACCGAUCGUAGUCCGGAUCGCAGUCUGCAACUCGACUGCGUGAAGUCGGAAUCGCUAGUAAUCGUGAAUCAGAAUGUCACGGUGAAUACGUUCCCGGGCCUU